rnacentral:rRNA from 1 species
GGUGAACGCUGGCGGCGUGCUUAAGACAUGCAAGUCGAACGGCAGUCUUCGGACUGUAGUGGCGCACGGGUGAGUAACGCGUAACUGACCUACCCCAAAGUCGCGGAUAACGAUUCGAAAGAAUCGCUAAUACGUGAUGUGCUGUCAGAUUGUGUUCUGCCAGUAAAGAUUGAUUGCUUUGGGAUGGGGUUGCGUUCCAUCAGCUAGUUGGUGGGGUAAAGGCCCACCAAGGCGACGACGGAUAGCCGGCCUGAGAGGGUGGCCGGCCCCCGGGGCACUGAGACACGGGUCCCACUCCUACGGGAGGCAGCAGUUAGGAAUCUUCCACAAUGGGCGAAAGCCUGAUGGAGCGACGCCGCGUGAGGGAUGAAGGCCUUCGGAUCGUAAACCUCUGAAUCAGGGACGAAAGACACUUCGGUGGGAUGACGGUACCUGAGUAAUAGCACCGGCUAACUCCGUGCCAGCAGCCGCCGUAAUAC